rnacentral:rRNA from 1 species
UACAGAGGGUGCAAGCGUUAAUCGGAAUUACUGGGCGUAAAGCGUGCGUAGACGGUUACAUAAGUCGGGUGUGAAAGCCCCGGGCUCAACCUGGGAAUUGCAUUCGAGACUGCGUAGCUAGGGUGCGGAAGAGGGAAGCGGAAUUUCCGGUGUAGCGGUGAAAUGCGUAGAUAUCGUCAAGAACACCUAUAGCGAAGGCAGCUUACUAGGCUGUAACUGACGCUGAGGCACGAAAGUGUGGGGAUCAAACAGG